GAAUAGCCCAGAGAAAUUUGGAUUAAUGCCCGAUGGUAUAAUAGAGAGGCAUCUCUUUAUUAUUAAAGAAUUUCGGAUAAGGAUGAGCGUGCGCAAGAUUAGCUAGUUGGUAGGGUAACGGCCUACCAAGGCGACGAUCUUUAGCUGAUGUGAGAGCAUGAUCAGCCACACGGGCACUGAGACACGGGCCCGACUCCUACGGGAGGCAGCAGUGAGGAAUAUUGGUCAAUGGACGGAAGUCUGAACCAGCCAUGCCGCGUGAAGGAUGAAGGCGUUCUGCGUUGUAAACUUCUUUUAUUAGGGGAGAAACCACUUUUGUCUAAGAGUGUUGACGGUACCUAAUGAAUAAGCACCGGCUAACUCCGUGCCAGCAGCCGCGGUAAUACGGAGGGUGCGAGCGUUAUCCGGAUUUACUGGGUUUAAAGGGUGCGCAGGCGGGCUAUUAAGUCCGGGGUGAAAUCCUACAGCUUAACUGUAGAACUGCCUUGGAUACUAUUAGCCUUGAAUUUGGUAGAGGUCAGCGGAAUACAACAUGUAGCGGUGAAAUGCAUAGAUAUGUUGUGGAACACCGAUUGCGAAGGCAGCUGACUGGGCCAUAAUUGACGCUCAUGCACGAAAGCGUGGGUAGCGAACAGGAUUAGAUACCCUGGUAGUCCACGCCCUAAACGAUGAUUACUCGCCGUUUGCGAUAUACAGUGAGCGGCUAAGGGAAACCGUUAAGUAAUCCACCUGGGAAGUACGAUCGCAAGAUUGAAACUUAAAGGAAUUGACGG
rnacentral:rRNA from 1 species